rnacentral:tRNA from 1 species
GGUAGGAUGGCUGAGAGGCAAGCGGCGGAUUGUAGCUCCGUGAACAGAGGUUUAAUUCCUCUUCCUACCA